GACGGAAGUCGGGGCUAGUGCGUAAGCUACCAUACAAAUAGUUUUAUGACGACUUCGGAACGUAUUUUAACGGAAUCGGAUCGGAAGAGUGCCUAAUCGGUCACA